UACGUAGGGGGCUAGCGUUGUCCGGAAUCAUUGGGCGUAAAGAGCGUGUAGGCGGCCCGGUAAGUCCGCUGUGAAAGUCGGGGGCUCAACCCUCGGAUGCCGGUGGAUACUGUCGGGCUCGAGUACGGAAGAGGCGAGUGGAAUUCCUGGUGUAGCGGUGAAAUGCGCAGAUAUCAGGAGGAACACCUAUGCGAAGGCAGCUCGCUGGGACGUAACUGACGCUGAGACGCGAAAGCGUGGGGAGCAAACAGG
rnacentral:rRNA from 1 species